AGGCAGCAGUGGGGAAUUUUGGACAAUGGGCGCAAGCCUGAUCCAGCCAUGCCGCGUGCGGGAAGAAGGCCUUCGGGUUGUAAACCGCUUUUGUCAGGGAAGAAAUCCUUUGAGAUAAUACCUCGGAGGGAUGACGGUACCUGAAGAAUAAGCACCGGCUAACUACGUGCCAGCAGCCGCGGUAAUACGUAGGGUGCGAGCGUUAAUCGGAAUUACUGGGCGUAAAGCGUGCGCAGGCGGUCUUGCAAGACAGGUGUGAAAUCCCCGGGCUUAACCUGGGAACUGCACUUGUGACUGCAAGGCUGGAGUACGGCAGAGGGGGAUGGAAUUCCGCGUGUAGCAGUGAAAUGCGUAGAUAUGCGGAGGAACACCGAUGGCGAAGGCAAUCCCCUGGGCCUGUACUGACGCUCAUGCACGAAAGCGUGGGGAGCAAACAGGAUUAGAUACCCUGGUAG
rnacentral:rRNA from 1 species